CCUCUGUGUUCUACAGCAGUUACCCACGCACAGUGGUAUCAGCUACACACGCACAGUGGUAUCUGGGACCAGUUUUGUGGACUCAAAGGUUUUCUACCUGAGAGGCAUAACGCAGGUCAGCUGAUUCAUCGGAAUCAGGAUGGAAAUCGCAGAGGAUGCAGAUAGUUUGUGGGCACAGGAGCGAGAGAACAUCAUUAUGAACUAUGAGAAGGGAUACCGAGCUGGGCUGCCAGAGGACAUGGGGCCUGAGCCUGUUGGAAUCUACAACAACAUUGAUCGCUUUGGAAUUCUGCAUGAGACAGAGCUGCCUCCUGCCACUGCUCGGGAGGUGAAGGUAAGAACCUGAUGCAUGGAGGGGCUGGUUCAGGGGCGUGGGGACUGGGCGAGUGGUCGGUGAGGCAGAGGAGGCAGCUGG